rnacentral:rRNA from 1 species
UACGAAGGGGGCGAGCGUUGUUCGGGUUUACUGGGCGUAAAGGGCGCGCAGGCGGCUUAUUUUGUCAGGCGUGAAAGCCCCGGGCUUAACCUGGGAACUGCGUUUGAUACGGAUGGGCUAGAGUUCGGGAGAGGAGAGUGGAAUUCCCAGUGUAGAGGUGAAAUUCGUAGAUAUUGGGAAGAACACCGGUGGCGAAGGCGGCUCUCUGGACCGAUACUGACGCUGAGGCGCGAAAGCGUGGGGAGCAAACAGG